CUUGGUCAUUUAGAGGAAGUAAAAGUCGUAACAAGGUUUCUGUAGGUGAACCUGCAGAAGGAUCAUUGAAAAAUCAAUGGGGAAAAGGCAGCCCGCGCAAGGGUAGCCUUUUUCCUUUAUUCACACGCCUUUACACACCUGUGCACGUACAAAAAACCAUUUCACACGCUUAGAAAAUAGAGAAUGUCAUAAAAAUCCUUCCUAGGAAGGUGAAAGUUAAAUACAACUUUCGGCAACGGAUCUCUAGGUUCUCCUAUCGAUGAAGAACGCAGCGAAUUGCGAUAAGUAAUUGUGAAUUGCAGACAUCAGUGAAUCAUCGAAUCUUUGAACGCAUCUUGCGCCCUUUGGUAUUCCUUAGGGCAUGCCUGUUUGAGUGUCACGAGCAACCUUUGAACCUCGGAUUUUUUCAUGAAAGUCUGUUUGGGUUCAGUCUUGAGCGCUUGCCUGUUUUUUCAGGCUCGCUCUAAAUGCAUUAGCUGGCAUUUCGCUCCUGUCAUCCGGACCUGGUUUUAAAAAGGCCUGGUUCGGAUGGUUGGUUCGGCGUGAUAAUUUACAUCUGCUGGAUCAUUUCAGGGACGGAAUUCUGCUUCCAACCAAGGGAGCCGGUCCUUUUUCGAGGAUCGCGUCUCUGCACUUUUUGACAUCUGGCCUCAGACAGGUAGGACUACCCGCUGAACUUAAGCAUAUCAAUAAGCGGAGGA
rnacentral:rRNA from 1 species